rnacentral:rRNA from 1 species
AGAAUCAACGCUGGCGGCGUGCCUAACACAUGCAAGUCGAACGAGAAAGGGUAGCAAUACCUGAGUAAAGUGGCGCACGGGUGAGUAACACGUGACUAACCUACCCUGGAGUGGGGGAUAACUGAGGGAAAACCUUAGCUAAUACCGCAUAACACCUACGGGUCAAAGGAGCAAUUCGCUUCAGGAGGGGUCGCGGCCGAUUAGUUAGUUGGCGGGUAAUGGCCCACCAAGACAGUGAUCGGUAU